rnacentral:rRNA from 1 species
AUUGAACGCUGGCGGCAGGCCUAACACAUGCAAGUCGAACGAGUGGCGGACGGGUGAGUAAUGUCUGGGAAACUGCCCGAUGGAGGGGGAUAACUACUGGAAACGGUAGCCAAUACCGCAUACCAUCGGAUGUGCCCAGAUGGGAUUAGCUAGUAGGUGGGGUAACGGCUCACCUAGGCGACGAUCCCUAGCUGGUCUGAGAGGAUGACCGCCCAACCUGGAACAAGGACACGGUCCAAACUCCUACGGGAGGCAGCGGUGGGGAAUAUUGCACAAUGGGGGCAAGCCUGAUGCAGCCAUGCCGCGGGUUUGAAGCAGGCCUUCGGGUUGUAAAGUCCUUUCGGCGAGGAGGCGUUACUCGCAGAGGAAGCACCGGCUAACUCCGUGCCAGCAGCCGCGGUAAUAC